rnacentral:rRNA from 1 species
UUGCACGCUGGCGACAUGCUUUACCCCUGCCAGUCGAACGGCAGCGCGGGCUUCGGCCUGGCGGCGAGUGGCGAACGGGUGAGUAAUGCAUCGGAACGUGCCCAGUAGUGGGGGAUAGCCCGGCGAAAGCCGGAUUAAUACCGCAUACGACCUGAGGGUGAAAGCGGGGGACCGAAAGGCCUCGCGCUAUUGGAGCGGCCGAUGUCGGAUUAGCUAGUUGGUGGGGUAAAGGCUUACCAAGGCGACGAUCCGUAGCUGGUCUGAGAGGACGACCAGCCACACUGGGACUGAGACACGGCCCAGACUCCUACGGGAGGCAGCAGUGGGGAAUUUUGGACAAUGGGGGCAACCCUGAUCCAGCCAUGCCGCGUGCGGGAAGAAGGCCUUCGGGUUGUAAACCGCUUUUGUUCGGGAAGAAAUCCUCUGGGCUAAUACCCCGGGGGGAUGACGGUACCGGAAGAAUAAGCACCGGCUAACUACGUG